rnacentral:rRNA from 1 species
AGCGAACGCUGGCGGCAGGCCUAAUACAUGCAAGUCGAACGCACCUUCGGGUGAGUGGCGGACGGGUGAGUAACACGUGGGAACGUGCCCUUUGGUUCGGAAUAAUCCGGGGAAACCUGGCCUAAUACCGGAUGUGCCCUACGGGGGAAAGAUUUAUCGCCAUUGGAGCGGCCCGCGUCUGAUUAGCUAGUUGGUGAGGUAAAGGCUCACCAAGGCUACGAUCAGUAGCUGGUCUGAGAGGAUGAUCAGCCACACUGGGACUGAGACACGGCCCAGACUCCUACGGGAGGCAGCAGUAGGGAAUCUUGCGCAAUGGGCGAAAGCCUGACGCAGCCAUGCCGCGUGAAUGAUGAAGGUCUUAGGAAUUGUAAAAUUCUUUCAGCAGGGAAGAU